rnacentral:pre_miRNA from 1 species
UUUUACGGAUGAUCAAAGAGAGUGGUUUCUUGAGAUGAAAUCUACUCCUGUGAAGAUGCUGUGAA